GACGGGGGAUGCAAGCGUUAUCCGGAAUCACUGGGCGUAAAGCGUCUGUAGGUGGUGAUGCAAGUCACUGGUGCAAAACUCUGGCUCAACCGGAGGAAAGCCAGUUAAACUUCAUGACUAGAGUGUGGGAGAGGUAGAAGGAAUUCCCUGAGUAGCGGUGAAAUGCGUAGAUACAGGGAAGAACACCGGAGGCGAAAGCGUUCUCCUGGAACACAACUGACACUGAGAGACGAAAGCUAGGGGAGCGAAUGGG
rnacentral:rRNA from 1 species